rnacentral:rRNA from 1 species
AACGGCCAUACCAUGCUGAAUAUACCGGUUCUCGUUAGAUCCUCGAAGUCAAGCAUCAUUGGGCGCGGUCAGUACUUGGGUGGGUGACCACCUGGGAACAUCGCGUGCCGUU